AAGCUCGUAGUUGAAUUUCGGGAUCAAAUUGUCGGUCGUGCCUCGGUACGUACUGGCAUUAUUGGUUCCUCCCUUCUGAAGAACCGCGAUGUCAUUAAUUUGGUGUCGCGGGGAAUCAGGACUGUUACUUUGAAAAAAUUAGAGUGUUUAAAGCAGGCUCGCGCUUGAAUACAUUAGCAUGGAAUAAUGAAAUAGGACGUUUGAUUCUAUUUUGUUGGUUUCUAGGAUCGACGUAAUGAUUAAUAGGGAUAGUUGGGGGCAUUAGUAUUCAAUUGUCAGAGGUGAAAUUCUUGGAUUUAUUGAAGACUAACUACUGCGAAAGCAUUUGCCAAGGAUGUUUUCAUUAAUCAAGAACGAAAGUUAGGGGAUCGGAGACGAUCAGAUACCGUCGUAGUCUUAACCAUAAACUAUGCCGACUAGGGAUCGGAUGAUGUUAAUUUUUUAAUGACUCAUUCGGCGCCUUACGGGAAACCAAAGUGUUUGGGUUCCGGGGGGAGUAUGGUCGCAAGGCUGAAACUUAAAGGAAUUGACGGAAGGGCACCACCGGGGGUGGAGCCUGCGGCUUAAUUUGACUCAACACGGGGAAACUCACCAGGUCCAGACAUAGUAAGGAUUGACAGAUUGAGAGCUCUUUCUUGAUUCUAUGGGUG
rnacentral:rRNA from 1 species